GUACACGCUGUGACUAGCAUAUCAAUAAGCGGAGGAAAAGAAACUAACAAGGAUUCCCCUAGUAACGGCGAGUGAAGCGGGAAGAGCUCAAAUUUGAAAUCUUAAAGGGUUUCCCUUUACGAAUUGUAGUUUAAAGAAGUGUUUUCUGUUGAGGUUUUGGUAAAAGUUCUUUGGAAUAGGACAUCAUAGAGGGUGAGAAUCCCGUAUUUGACCUUUACUUUCAACUUUGUGAUACACUUUCAAAGAGUCGGAUUGUUUGGGAAUGCAGUCCAAAAUGGGUGGUAAAUUUCAUCUAAAGCUAAAUAUUGGCGAGAGACCGAUAGCGAACAAGUACCGUGAGGGAAAGAUGAAAAGAACUUUGAAAAGAGAGUUAAACAGUACGUGAAAUUGUCAAAAGGGAAGCGUUUGACACCAGUGUUGUUUUUCUGAAAAUCAAUUAAAGAACUGUUUAUGCUAAGCUGUUUAGACUUUAUCAGCUAUCUGUUUAGUUUUGAGCUUUUCUUUAAUGCACUUUUCAGUUAACAAGUCAACAUCAAUUUCUUUUGCUGUAAAAAAGCUUGAGGAAGGUGGCUUGAGAUUCGUCUUAAGUGUUUAUAGCCUCUUGCCUAUGCAGUCGGAGAGAUUGAGGUCUGCAGCGUAGAUCCUUCGGGGCUAAAUGCAUUUGUGCUAAGUUAUAGCAUUUUAUAGACAACUUGUUGACUAUGAUUUGUCUUGUAGCUUACUCGCUUAUGUUAUUUUACCUACGCUUAGGAUGUUGACGCGCGUGUGUGCGUG
rnacentral:rRNA from 1 species